rnacentral:tRNA from 1 species
GGCGCCUUAGCUUAAGAGUGUCAAUUCCGGAAGACUCCGCUGGGAAAGCACUCUGUCGUUGCAGAGGGUUGGUGGGUUCGAAUCCCCCAGGCGCCG